rnacentral:rRNA from 1 species
UCUGGCUCGGACGAACGCUGGCGGCGUGCCAUAUCNUGCAAGUCAGCGAACACAGAGGAGCUUGCCCUCUUGGUAGCGGCGGACGGGUGAGAACACGUGGGCACCUGCCUGAAGACUGGGAUACACCGGGAAACCGGUGCUAAACCGGAUAAUCCUUUUCCUCUCNUGAGGAAAAGCUGAAAGACGGUUUCGGCUGUCACUUCAGAUGGGCCCGCGGCGCNUUAGCUAGUUGGUGAGGUAACGGCUCACCAAGGCGACGAUGCGUAGCCGACCUGAGAGGGUGAUCGGCCACACUGGGACUGAGACACGGCCCAGACUCCUACGGGAGGCAGCAGUAGGGAAUCUUCCGCAAUGGACGAAAGUCUGACGGAGCAACGCCGCGUGAGCGAUGAAGGCCUUCGGGUCGAAAGCUCUGUUGUAGGGAAGAACA